rnacentral:rRNA from 1 species
UACGUAGGGUGCAAGCGUUGUCCGGAAUUAUUGGGCGUAAAGAGCUCGUAGGCGGUUUGUCGCGUCUGCUGUGAAAUCCCGAGGCUCAACCUCGGGCCUGCAGUGGGUACGGGCAGACUAGAGUGCGGUAGGGGAGAUUGGAAUUCCUGGUGUAGCGGUGGAAUGCGCAGAUAUCAGGAGGAACACCGGUGGCGAAGGCGGGUCUCUGGGCCGAUACUGACGCUGAGGAGCGAAAGCGUGGGGAGCGAACAGG